GCAAUGCGAGAUGCAUAACUGUCAUCACGUUCAAACUAGAUCAGCUCCACGAUGAAUCCGGGACACCGACGGAUUGUUAUAUGAGUUCAGUGACCUUCCCCCUGUCAAGAUAUCACUCGACAUUGACGAAUUGAAUUCAAUUCGUCAGUGUUUCAACAACAAUUCACUGCCCUAUGUUUCUGGAGUUGAUUUAAUGAGGUGGUGAUGAGUGGGGAGACCCUUCAUAGAUCGGAUGAAUAAAAUGGGUAAAGGCAGGAAGAGAGAAAGCCAGUUCUCGGAAUAAUGCACAUGGGGCGCGUGCGGACUCAGCCAGGGAUUUAAUUGGAUGGACACCAUCGUCUGGAUGCUUAAUUAACUAAUUAAUUUCACGCGGGACGCAGAGAUACUGGCGAGUGAUCCGAUGUUUCAUCUUCGCACUUUGAUGACUUCCCACUUUCAUUCAUCUUCCGCUCUCGACACACCUCGGGGAGUUUUAGCUGGAGCUUGAUGACGCAGGAUGAAUUUCAAUG